rnacentral:rRNA from 1 species
GAUGAACGCUGGCGGCGUGCCUAAUACAUGCAAGUCGAGCGAACGGACGAGAAGCUUGCUUCUCUGAUGUUAGCGGCGGACGGGUGAGUCACAUGUGGAUACUCUACCUAUAAGACUGGGAUAACUUCGGGAAACCGGAGCUAAUACCGGAUGAUAUUUUGAACCGCAUGGUUCAAUAGUGAAAGACGGUCUUGCUGGCACUUAUAGAUGGAUCCGCGCUGCAUUAGCUAGUUGGUAAGGUAACGGCUUACCAAGGCGACUAUGCAUAGCCGAACUGUGAGGGUGGUCGGCGGCACUGGAGGUGGGACGCGGUCCAGGGUCCUGCGGGAGGCAGCAGUAGGGAAUGGUACGCAGUGGGCGGAAGCCUGGCGGAGCGGCGGCGCGUGAGUGAUGGAGAUCUUCGGAUCGUGAAGCUCUGUUAUUAGGGGAAAACAUAUGUGGAAGUAGCUGUACACAUCUUGACGGUAACGGGUCAGAAAGCCACGGCUAACUACGUG